CCUACGGUGUGCAGCAGUGGGGGAUCUUGCACAAUGGGCGCAAGCCUGAUGCAGCGACGCCGCGUGAGCGAAGAAGGAUUUCGGUAUGUAAAGCUCUAUUAGCAGGGAAGAAAAUGACUGUACCUGACUAUUCACCUUUGGCCAAAUACGUGCCAGCAGCCGCGGUCAUACGUAUGGCGCAAGCGUUAUCCGGAUUUACUGGGUGUAAAGUGAGCGUAGGCGGCUUUGUAAGUCUGAUGUGAAAAUUUGGGGCUCAACCCGAAACGUGCAUUGGAAACUGGAGGUCUUGAGUGCCGGAGAGGCAGGCGGAAUUCCUAGUGUAGCGGUGAAAUGCGUAGAUAUUAGGAGGAACACCAGUGGCGAAGGCGGCCUGCUGGACGGUAACUGACGCUGAGGCUCGAAAGCGUGGGGAGCAAACAGGAUUAGAUACCCCAGUAGUC
rnacentral:rRNA from 1 species